UGUAAGCUGAAGAGUUAUUGAAACCGUUUUGAAGUAAAGCAGCAAGUUUAGCAAGUUGCAUGGGGUCUUACUAUGUACCUUUUUAAUCCUCUAGUACUGCCCAGUCAGACUUGAAAACAUCCCCAAGUGAACGCAUCAGUGUAAGCACUCCAUUAAGUCAGUCAACAGUAAUAUCUGUUGAUGAAGACGUCGAUGAAACCAGCAAGAUGAAGAACACUACUCGUUUAAUUGUAUCAGCCUUUGCAUUCAGAGUAUUUGGAAUCCUGCUCAUCUUUGUGGACAUAUUUCUCAUCAUGUCAGAUGUAAUUUCAAUGAU